UCAAGUUACAAAGGGCGCAGGGCGGAUGCCUUGGCACCAGGAGCCGAAGAAGGACGUGAUAAGCUGCGAAAAGCUGCGGGGAGGAGCAAAUAUCCAUUGAUCCGCAGGUAUCCGAAUGGGGAAACCCGGCAGAAAGAACUUCUGUCACCGUAUGAUGAAUCCAUAGUCAUACGGAGGGAACCCGGCGAACUGAAACAUCUAAGUAGCCGGAGGAAGAGGAAGAAACAUCGAAUCCCUGAGUAGUGGCGAGCGAAAGGGGACGAAGCCCAAACCAAGGAUUUAUCCUUGGGGUUGAGGACCACAGACGAAGAAGCAGUAGGUAGUAGAACGGUUUUGGGAAAGCCGGCCAAAGAGAGUGAAAGCCUCGUAUACGAAACAGACUGUGAUUCAGUGGUAUCCGGAGUACUACGGGACACGAGAAACCCCGUAGGAAGCAGGAGGGACCACCCUCCAAGGCGAAAUACUACCUGGUGACCGAUAGAGUAUAGUACCGUGAGGGAAAGGUGAAAAGAACCCCGGGAGGGGAGUGAAAGAGAACCUGAAACCCUGUGUCUACAAGCUGCGGAAGCACGACUAACGUGCAACCGUGUACUUUUUGUAGAACGGUCCGGCGAGUUGCCGUUGCUGGCAGGUUAAGUACUUAAGGUACGGAGCCGAAGGGAAACCAAGUCUUAACAGGGCGGUAAGUCAGUAACGGCAGACCCGAAACCGGGUGACCUACCCAUGGCCAGGAUGAAGUCUGCGUAAAAGUGGAUGGAGGUCCGAACACACGUCUGUUGAAAAAGGCGGUGAUGAGCUGUGGGUAGCGGAGAAAUUCCAAUCGAACUCGGAGAUAGCUGGUUCUCCCCGAAAUAGCUUUAGGGCUAGCCUCGGUAUAGUCUAAUGGAGGUAGAGCACUGAAUCGCUGCGGGGGCGUCAAAGUCUACCAAAGCGUAUCAAACUCCGAAUGCCAUAUAGAUGUUUACCGGGAGUCAGACUGUAUGAGAUAAGUCGGACAGUCAAAAGGGAAACAGCCCAGACCAUCUGCUAAGGUCCCAAAGUGUAUGUUAAGUGGUAAAGGAUGUGGGGUUUCGAAGACAACUAGGAUGUUGGCUCAGAAGCAGCCAUUCAUUCAAAGAGUGCGUAAUAGCUCACUAGUCGAGAGGUCCUGCGCCGAAAAUGUCCGGGGCUGAAACAUAACACCGAAGCAAUGGAACAUACCGUAAGGUAUGUUGGUAGGGGAGCAUUGAUAACACGAAGAAGCGGUACCGUAAGGAGUCGUGGAGAGUUAUCAAGAGAGAAUGCCGGAAUGAGUAGCGAGAUGAAGGUGGGAAUCCUUCAGGCCGUAUAUCCAAGGUUUCCAGGGUAAAGCUGAUCUUCCCUGGGGAAGUCGGGACCUAAGCUGAGGCUGAGAAGCGUAGGCGAUGGACAACUGGUUGAUAUUCCAGUACCUCUGAUUAUCAGAAAUGUGGGGACACGGAGAUUCAGGAAGAGCCUGUAAAGGAUUCAGGUGCAAGCAUGGUUUAUGCCGGGCAGGCAAAUCCGCCCGGGUAACUGAACUGUGUGAUGCGGACCGAAAUAUAAGUAGGGAAGCUUCUGGGAGAGCCGUCGAGAAAAGCCGCUAUUGUGUAGUCAGAGCCCGUACCGUAAACCGACACAGGUGGAUGGGGAGAGUAUCCCAAGGCCGGCGGGAGAAGCAUUGUUAAGGAACUCGGCAAAAUGGCCCCGUAAGUUCGCGAUAAGGGGUGCCUGUAGAGAUACAGGCCGCAGAGAAUAGGCUCAAGCAACUGUUUAGCAAAAACACAGGUCUAUGCGAAACCGUAAGGUGAUGUAUAUGGGCUGACGCCUGCCCGGUGCUGGAAGGUUACGGGGAGUGCUUAGGAGCAAUCCGAAGGUACGAACUUAAGCCCCAGUAAACGGCGGCCGUAACUAUAACGGUCCUAAGGUAGCGAAAUUCCUUGUCGGGU
rnacentral:rRNA from 1 species